rnacentral:misc_RNA from 1 species
GAUGAAGAACGUAGCGAAAUGCGAUAAGUAAUGUGAAUUGCAGAAUUCAGUGAAUCAUCGAAUCUUUGAACGCACAUUGCGCCCGCCAGUAUUCUGGCGGGCAUGCCUGUCUGAGCGUCAUUUCAACCCUCACGCCCCUAGGGCGUGGUGUUGGGGAUCGGCCAAGGCCCGCAAGGGACGGCCGGCCCCUAAAUCUAGUGGCGGACCCAUCGUGGCCUCCCCUGCGAAGUAGUAAUAUAUUCCGCAUCGGAUAGCGAUGAGCCCCUGCCGUUAAACCCCCAACUCUUUCAAGGUUGACCUCAGAUCAGGUAGGAAUACCCGCUGAACUUAAGCAUAUCAAUAAGCGGAGGA